rnacentral:tRNA from 1 species
GAGUAGUUAGUAUAAAAAGUAUCUGCGACUUCGGAUCACACGGUGGGGGUACCCUCACUACUCU